GCGAUUAAUUAUUUUUCUACCGCGUGGGGUGGUUUGAAGGGGAGCCCGACCUGCUCCCAUCACCCAGCACAGCCCCUUCCUGCAGAGCAGAACCGGGACGGACGGACUGACGGACGAUGGAGGGAGCGACGAGCAGAGCUGAGCGGUGGGUUUUGGCACCAAUGAGGAAAAAACUGCAAUAAUCCAUCUGAUAUCACAAGAGCUGGAGUCCUUUGUAGCUCUUCCAUUAGGAUUGAGGUCAACGUGAGCCUUCAUUGGUCCCAAAUCCACCAUCAAUGAGCAUCAGACACCAUGGACAGGGCCCAAAUCCACCCCCAGCUCAGCUCAGGACCCGGUGCUGCUCCAUCCUCAACUUGGAGCCUCCGGUUGGCAUCACCAGUUCUUAUUUUUCUUUAAAAGAAGCCAAUAUACAGAAUACAAAGCACAAUAUUUACAACCGGACGGUCAACAGAUCCCGCACCCAUCAGUAGUCUGUUUUAAUGUGUAUAAAAAAAUACCCCUCUUACAACGGCCUAAAGAGGGACUGACAUGAAGUGACACCAACGUGGGAAGAGAUUCAUUCAUCGACACCUUCCACUCCAAUUAAAUAAUAAAUAAUUGGGGUGUUUUGUGGCAGAAUCGAGGCUACGUAGGCUUGAGUGAGGGCUAAAAUGUGUUUGUUUUAAGCAUUAUUUCCUCUACAGAGACCCAACCCAGAACUGGGUGAUCUUUGAGGUCCCUUCCGACCCAACCUGUGGUCCUAUGGAAUUAAAUAGGAGGAGAAGCAUCACGUACCCAUUUCUGCCAACACAAUUUGUUGCUUCUGCAAAAGAGAAGCUCGGAACGGCUCCCAUGAACAUGGAAGGGUCUUAAGACACAGAACUAUACACAAAAAACAGACAACGAGAAAUAAUCAAGUGUUUCUUCACUACUCUGCCAAAGACUUGGGGUCAAGCCUCCACCAAUGGGUGGGGAAGGACUGAAGUAAGAAUUUGGCAGGCAGUUAUUGUCUUGUUCACCUCUACCACCAGCAUCAUUAACACCAGGAUACAGUGCAGCAAACUCAAACUGACCGAAGUCACCUUGUAUUAAAAGCUUAAAAUCGAGCAUUUUGGGUCCCCCUGCAACCCAAGUGUAUAAGAAUCAAAACCCAAAAAUCCUGAAGCAAAACGUGGAAAAUCCUCAUUGGGGUGUUAUUACACCAUGGAAGCACGGCAUGGAAAAGUCUGGUCAACCCCAUUGGUCGACCAACUGUGAUUUAACGUUGACCACAGCAUUUUAAUUGCUUUAAAUAUCACCUCUAAAGUAAAGCACUCACAAAUGUGCAACACAGCUGGAGACUUCCCCGUACUGCAGUUCCAGCACAAACAUUCUCCCAGCUAUUCCCAGAGCCAAAGGAAACAACAAGCAAAGAGCUGCUCCACAUAAGGCUGCGCACAGCCAACCGUCGCCACUCUUUGGACCAUGACCUCAGCUUGUGUUUUUGCUGGCAGCAAUGGUGAUGGAAAAACACCUCGUCUUGGGUGGAAAGAGCUUUAGAUCUACAGCCAGGCUCUAUUUAAGUCUACAGCCAGGCACCGUUUAGAUCCACUCUGUUUCAUUCAUUUCCAUUUACACUGGCGUAGACCAACACAACGCGUCUUCCAAGCGGGCAGGACACGAAGCCAAGGUUGGGGCAGUACUAAAGCAGCAGUGAUUCUACAGGUUGAGGCUGUCAGCCUGCUUGUCUUCCCUACCUCUGAGGAAGCGAUGGGGAGCGCAUCACAGCCGUACCCAUCCCAUUGUCCCACAUCAUCAAUGGGAAACAGCCAGAGAUUUUGGAGUCCCAUCAAAGCCGAAGAUACUUCAUGGGGGAACAGCUGCAUUUGCCAACAGAACUCUGUUUGCACUUUAAAAACCUCUCAUAAAAAUAGAAUAUAUACUGUGUGGUUUUGGUUUUGUUUUGUUUUUUAUAUAUAAAUAAUUACAUAUUUAGCUUAGUUAAAUUUCAUUGCCCCUCCCACCCCACCCCCUCCCCAUUUUUCUGUAAUACAUUUGUUUUUACGUUGCCUGAACUAAUACAACAAUGAUUACACCAUUGAGAAAGUGUUUGUAUCACAUCACUCUUUGGACAUUUCUGAACGACAUGCAUCCACAAAAGCAACCGCCAUUGUUUACCGAAAACGUUAUUAAUUGUCCAUAUUAUUUUUGUACAAACCCAUUUUAGGAACUGGACACAUUAUUACACUGCUAACAAGCAAAAAAAUUUGCUUCCUUGAAACCCCCUUUUAUAAAAUGAGAGACAAUGAGGAGGAUUUUUCUGAUUAUCGGUCUAAAAAAGUGUCAAUAUGACACCGCAUUAUGAGUAGUAAACAAAAAUAAAGUAUUUACAGCUUUACAAAGGAAAGGAAAAGAAAGAGGUCAUCAAAAUCAUUUUCCAGCAUUUUCACCAUGUUUUUUUUUUUUCUGGCAAGCUUUUCAUCUGGUUGCUACAGAGUGGUUCAACACAAACAGAACAGGGCCCGCUGUUGGCAUCACUUGAUGCCAAACCAACCGAAGACCUCCAAGGGAAACUAUCAAGGACCAACCUUGGUCAUAUCCAAAAGAUUGACCUCUCUGAGACCUACGUGAAAAUAAAACCCCAAUCCCAAGUAUGAAAACACCUCUUUGUUGUGUUUUUUUCUCUCCCCUAAAAAAUGGAUUACAUAUGGUUAUAAGAAAGACACCAACAAGCAUGGUAGCUUCCCAUCACACACAUCACCACCGUACACGUUAUUUCUAUACUGUCUACUACAGACCCACAUCCCCUACACUUACCAAAAAAUACAACCCUAUGACUCCUCUACAACCCUAUGACUCCUCAUAAGUAUGGCUACGAGAUAAGCUGUAGGUUACAGCUCGAUUCCUGCUUCCUCACUUGGCUCCCUCUGUCAAACUGAGGAUGUUCUUUCCCAUCUCACCACACCAGCUCCAAGUUUCAAGACCACUCAGCCUUUUUCUUACUACGUCACCAAGUUUUAUAGCAGCUAAGCCAGA